AUUUUCUUAGUAUAUUAGUAUAUUUAACUUCCAAUUAAAAGGACUUAAAUUUAAGAGAAAAUA
rnacentral:tRNA from 1 species